rnacentral:rRNA from 1 species
CGUAGGGGGCAAGCGUUGUCCGGAUUUAUUGGGCGUAAAGCGCGCGUAGGCGGCGCGGUGUGUCGUGCGUGAAAUCUCCCGGCUUAACUGGGAGGGGCCGUGCGAAACUGCCGGGCUUGAGGUCAGAAGGGGAAAGUGGAAUUCCGGGUGUAGUGGUGGAAUACGUAGAUAUCCGGAGGAACACCAGCGGCGAAGGCGGCUUUCUGGUCUGAUACUGACGCUGAGGCGCGAAAGCGUGGGGAGCGAUCCGGAUUAGAUACCCGGGUAGUCCACGCCGUAAACGAUGAGUACUAGGUGUCGGGGGUAUCGACCCCCUCGGUGCCGUCGCUAACGCAUUAAGUACUCCGCCUGGGGACUACGGCCGCAAGGCUA